UGAGACUUUUGAGACUUUAAGUCUCCUGAAGGAACGUUGAAGACUACGACGUUGAUAGGUCGGGUGUGUAAGCGCAGCGAUGCGUUGAGCUAACCGAUACUAAUGAACCGUGAGGCUUAACCUU
rnacentral:rRNA from 1 species